rnacentral:rRNA from 1 species
GUAUAAGAGACAGCAGCCGCCGCGGGAAUACGGAGGGUGCAAGCGUUAAUCGGAAUUACUGGGCGUAAAGCGCACGCAGGCGGUCUGACAAGUCAGAUGUGAAAUCCCCGGGCUUAACCUGGGAACUGCAUUUGAAACUGUCAGGCUGGAGUCUUGUAGAGGGGGGUAGAAUUCCAGGUGUAGCGGUGAAAUGCGUAGAGAUCUGGAGGAAUACCGGUGGCGAAGGCGGCCCCCUGGACAAAGACUGACGCUCAGGUGCGAAAGCGUGGGGAGCAAACAGGAUUAGAUACCCCGGUAGUCCCUGUCUCUUAUAC